AGGAUUAACGCUGGCGGCGUGCAUGAAACAUGCAAGUCGAGCGCGGCGCGUGGCUUCGGUCACGCGUCUAGCGGCGCACGGGUGAGUAACACGUGAGCAACCUACCUUCGAGUUCGGGAUAGCCCUGGGAAACCAGGAUUAAUACCGGAUGUGGUCACAACGGGACAUCCCGAUGUGAAAAAAGGCGCAAGCCGCUCGAUGACGGGCUCGCGGCCUAUUAGCUUGUUGUGGGGUAACGGCCUACCAAGGCGACGACGGGUA
rnacentral:rRNA from 1 species